AUGUAAAAAAGAUAUAACAUUUUUUAUUUAAAAAAUAUACGAACAUUUAAUAACGGCGUGAGAAUCCCAUAUCGGGCUAUAAACAAUUGUUCCGAAACUCUUCUUAGUUCCUCCUGCUGGUGAACAAUCAGCUGUUGUAGCUCUUCGUGUUUUCUUUGUAAUUCGUCUUGUAUUUGAUUCUGUGCAGGAGUCAUCACUAUGCCCUGUUGAUGUAACAUCUGAAAUAUAUUCAGGAUAGAGAGAUUACAAAAUCGAUAGAAACUUGGAACUAAUAAAAAUCCUGCUAUUUUAAUCAACUAUUCGCACAAGUGAUUUGUAUUAAUAAGCUAUUAAUUAGCUAUUGAAUUCUUUACCUCGUGGGUAGGCAUCGUUGAAAGAAUAGGAGCAGCAGGCGUCGCAAAUCCCGCUGUGACAACUGGCUGUAAAUUAACAGUUGCAUAUUGUGGAUCCAUAAAAUUAGGGCAUGAUUGAUUAACAUCCAGCUGCUGCGUUUGUUGUUGUUGUUGUUGUUGUUGCUGUUGCCUACUGUCCAUCGACGUAAUCGGCUUUGAAACUAUGGAACUGCUUGCAGAAGCUGCAUUCGAGUGUGAUCCGUGCGUUAUUUGUGAAUGUGGAGAACUUCGUAACGAAACGGAUAUCGAAGAUGUGUUGGAAUCACCGCAAUGUCGGAGAUUGGAAGCGAUUGACAUCGACUUUAAUGUCUUUGAUGAUUUGUUCGACCAUUGCGUCAAUGGUGUUUGACAAGAUGUUGUGACCUAUGCACAUAUGUAUUAAAACGUCCUGAUUUUCCGUUUUAUCGUAACCCUCCAAUUCAGCGCGUAAUUCCUUCAUUACGUCGACAUAACUGACCACGUAAUGUGUGCACACGAUAAAUUCAGGUUUCGAGUUCCACUGAUUAUACGUGAUAUAAAAUCUGGUCUGCAACCAAAUCCAUUGCUGACCUUUCGUGAGGAAUCGAUAAUAGCAAGAUGUUCCCUCGCCUUUCUGCAUCACUAAAAAUUAUUAAAGCAAUUAACAAUUUGCGUUGCAUGUGCUUUCGUUCUUUUUUCAUUUAUAUACUCACGUGAUUCAUGGCACGUAACAACAUUGUCUAAAUCGUCCACGUGAUAAUAAUCGUAACCGGAAGUGCCUAAUACUUCAAAAGAUAAUUCCCGGAUAAGUUGAGGAGUCUGAAGACGUCCUGUGCCCACGAAUACUAAUCUGCGAAAUUAAACGUGAAUUUACGCUCCGCAAUGCGAUUUUAUUUUUAUAUAUAUUUUAUACAAGAACAAUACUUGUUGUCUGAUGCGUUGGUGUUACUAUAUUUUUGAUUCGGCAGUAAAUUGUCGACAUCGUUAUCCUUAACAGACCCUAUAUAAUAUAAUAUAAAAUUAUACUUGACUUUAAAUAUCGAAUUAUCUCAUAAAAAACGUUGGUAUUAAAAAUAUAUAAUAUACAAUUGAAAAAGUAUGUGCUGCAGAUUAAUAAUUUUUAAGAUUUUUUACUUACGAAAAUAUCCGAUAAAUUGUACAAGUUCGUAGACAGAAUCUUCCUGAAAAUUGAGUCCGCCUCUUUUAAUGUGACACGUGAAAGAUAUUUGGUCCUCUGUCACAAUACAAAAAAUUGUGUGUAAUAAAAAUUGCAUAAAUUUUUA